rnacentral:rRNA from 1 species
AAUAGAUACCCUGGUAGUCCUAGCUGUAAACGAUGAGCACUUGGUCGAGGGGACCUCCACAUCCUCUCGGCCGUAGCGAAAGUGUUAAGUGCUCCGCCUGGGGAGUAUGGUCGCAAGGCUGGAACUCAAAGGAAUUGACGGGGGGCUCACACAAGCGGUGGAGGAUGUGGCUUAAUUCGAGGCUACGCGGAGAACCUUAUCCUGGUCUUGACAUGCUUAGGAACACUCUGGAAACAGAGUGGUGCCCUUCGGGGAGCCUUUGCACAGGUGCUGCAUGGCUGUCGUCAGCUCGUGUCGUGAGAUGUCGGGUUAAGUCCCUUAACGAGCGAAACCCUUGUCCCUAGUUGCCAGCGAGUUAUGUCGGGGACUCUAGGGAGACUGCCGGUGUUAAACCGGAGGAAGGUGGGGAUGACGUCAAGUCCUCAUGGCCUUUAUGAUCAGGGCUGCACACGUCCUACAAUGCGGCGUACAAAGGGAAGCAACCUCGUGAGAGCAAGCAAAUCCCAAAAAGCGUCGCCCAGUUCGGAUUGACG